rnacentral:RNase_P_RNA from 1 species
GUGGAACGGACGGUCGCCGUUCCGGUUCGGAUUUUCCGGGCCGGGAGGGAGGAAAGUCCGGGCACCACCAGGCAGGAUGCCCGCUAAUGGCGGGGCGGGGCGACCCGACGGACAGUGCCACAGAAACACACCGCCCUUUCGGAAACGGAAGGGUAAGGGUGAAAUGGCGAGGUAAGAGCUCACCGCCCGGUCGGUAACGGCCGGGGCAGGGUAAACCCCAUCCGGUGCAAGGCCAAAUAGGGGGACGCAGGCGCCUGGCCAGUCCCCGGGUUGGCCGCUUGACCCUUCUGGCAACGGAAGGGCUAGAUGGAUGACCGUACAGAGAUCGCUAACGGGGAAGAAGACUCGUUCGUAAACCCGCUAGCGAAUUCGGACAGAACCCGGCUUACAGUCCCGCUUGUC